CCACCCCCCUCCCCUUCCCUCGACCGGUGCCGGUGCACUGGCCCUUUCCACAACGCCGUUUUGUCCACACAACAACUGCAGCAUCACGACUCACAAGCCGGCCUCCUUGCCGGCUCAAUUCUUGCGCUUCGACAGCCCAUCAUCGACCCACAAAACCCUCUUCGUCUCGCCUUUAUUCAUUUUGCUUCCGCCUUCGCUGGCUGUGCCACUGUGUGUGUCGGGCAUGGCUGCCUAGUUCUCACCAGCGCAUGCCCUCGCUCGCCUUCCCUGGUGGCCUUGACCCUUCUCUCCCUCUCCGAGCGCGCGUCACAGCAGCGCAUUCGAGGGCCCCCACCCACCUCCGCCGUUUACGAGUGCUGCAUAGCGGGAAUAGCUCCGUGGGUGUCCUCCGUAUCACGCGCGCACGCGCAUGCAGACAUUCAGGUGCUCCGCUGACAUGCAGACCAACGAGGAGGUUGUGAUUUACCGUCUUGCGACGGGGCCGCAGAAGCCUGUCAGCGAGCACAAGCGGUUUGCGAUCCUGGUGCUCGGCUCCUUCGGCUGCAUUGUGUGCUCCUUCAGCUAUGCGUGGAAUCUCAUCUCCGGCACGAUGCAGCAGCGGUACGACCUCUCGCAGCGUGACCUGAGCACGAUUGUGACGGUGGGCCUCGUGGUGCAGUUUGGCGUGCUCCCUUACGCCUUCCUGUACGACUUUCUGGGGCCCAUACCAAUCAGCGUCAUCGGCACUGUGUACUUCCCGCUCGGCACUCUGCUGCUUGCGCUGUGCUUUAUGGGCAAGAUCGAGGGCAGCGUGGUGCGCCUCUCCGUGUUCAACGCCAUGAUGGCUUGCGGCUGCGCCAUGUUUGAUCUUGUGUGCUGCAUCACCGUCCUGUCUCACUUUCCGACAAACCGUGGCCCCGUGACGGCGCUGCUAAAGACGUUCACCGGCCUCGGCUCUGCGAUUGUUGCGUGCCUGUACGCCGGCUACUUCGACUCCGACGCCGAGAAGCACUUCUUCUUCCUGUUUUCUCUGGGCAUCGUUGUUGGCGUCCUGUGCAUUGUGUUCAUGCGGCUGCCCCCCUACCACCUGACGCAGUACGCGGAGCGGAAGUUGUCUGAUGAGGUAAAGGAGCGCCGCCUGGUGACGAAGGCGCAGUACCUGCGUCAGGAGGCACCGCUGCGCCGCUUCGCGUUGGGUCUGCUCAUCCUGGUUGCGCUCAUUGUCUUCGUGACGACGCAGAGUGCGCUGGUGAGCUACCUGAAGCUGGGUAAAGCCCCGAAGCUUGCGUUUGCGAUCGUGUCUACAAUCCUGGUGCUCUUGUAUACCUUUGUGAUGGCCCCUUUACCGUUUCUGAACAGCAGCUACAUCCCGGUUUUACAUCCGGUGCGCACAAGGCAACUGCAAGCGGUAGGUGAGAGGAGUGAAGCGUUGCAGGAGGGGCGCCGGGCUGAAGCCACUGUGACGAGCAGCAUCGAAGACUCCAAUGAGAAGGAUUCGAGUGAGGGAGUUCAAGGUUUGAAGGCCGCCGAGUGCACGCCUGGCCAUGCGAUGGCAUCGGAGCCGACGGCCGCAGCUGCGAAGGGGUCGUUAGAGAUGGAGUUGGACUACGUUGCACCGCAGUACCAGGGCAGCUUCAUCCGUAACCUGACAACCCUGGAGUUGUGGGCUCUGUGGUGGACGUCGUUCGCCACGACCGGCGUGACGUUCGUGAUAAAUUUCAAUUCUUCAUUUAUCUUUGUUGCGUUGCAGAGUGCGCCGGUCAGCGACUCGCUGCGGACCAUGCUGACGGUACUGAAUGGCGUGGGCAGCGCUGUGGGCCGGCUGCUGAUGUCGUUCUUCGAGGUCUGGUCGCAGAAGCGCAAGGCUGAGGACCGCGUGCCGAUAACCAUGGGAGUUUUUUUUUCCAGCAGCUGUGUCAUCACUAGCAUUGUGCUGUUCCUCGUGCUGCCUGCUGCAGCGCUCCCGCUGCCGCACAUAAUAGCUGCCAUCGGCAGCGGCUUCUAUAACGGUGUCGCGAUUCUGGUGACGCGCACGAUCUUCGCGAAGGACCCCGCGAAGCACUACCACUUCUGCUUAAGUGCACCUAUGAUCAGCGCCGUCGUGCUCAACCGGUUUCUGUACGGCGAGUGGUACACAGCGCAGGCUGAGAAGCAGGCACGCGCGGAUAGGAUGUGCUACGGCAAGAAGUGCGUGCUGAUGCCGCUGUUGGUGAUGCUCGGGGUUGGGUUCAGCGCGCUCAUCACGGACGUGGUGCUGAAUCUUCGCUACCGCUCGUACUGCCAGAGGGCGUUGGCGGAGCGCGCGCGUCUGCGUGAGCGGGACGAGCUAGUUCAAAAGAUGAGGGUUAUCGCUGGCAGCGGCGCCACGGACGGCUCGGACACCGACAAGGCUGUGGAUUGGGAGAUGAAGCAGCUCUGCCAGGCGUCAGGCGAAAGAAUACACGAGAAGCAUCCUACAAGGAAGUACGCACCGCCAACCUGUCGCCUGGAAGGCUCCGGUCGACCUUUGCCUUUCUGCCAACCCACAGUCGGGGAGGCUCGGGCCGGCAAGGGAUGAGCGUUGCGGUGGCCAUGCGCGCGCUCUCACUCCGUGAUGGUGGCGAGAGCGUAUUAGCGAGAGGGAGAGCUAUUUCGUUGUUCUGAGCUGCUCUCCUUACGCACCCCCGGAUGCCAGGGAGGAGGGCACACCUCUCAAGGCAUGGCAUCACAGCGCCCAGCACACCCCCUCUCUGAGGGAGAGCACAACAGCCCCUCCCCUCUACCCCUGCCAAUACCCACCUACCUCUAGUACUGGCAGGGCCAGGUGCCUACGGUGCGAGGAGGUCACAGAUAUUUAUUGCUGCUGAUGCCGGCGGCCAGGUCCUGGAUGGCGUGGCGCCGGAGCGACCUGCUGCAGUGCACGCGUCUGACCCAUCCACAUGAUGGGCAGCGUGUCCGCGCGACUCGAGCGUAUCCGACCCCCGGCCCUCGCACUGCCUACUGGUGGGUGGGGAGCCUGAGCCACCGCAAGGGAUGCCGCACGUGGCGACCGGUACGACGGUAGCUGCUGCGAGGCGCCCCGUGGGGCGGCGGGGGGUGGCCCGUGCUCGAGGCGGAAGCCGUGCUUGGAUGACUGAGUCGGCAUAUUGCUGUAACGCGUGUCUAGGGCUGCUUCGCACGACGCGAUGGGGUGGGGCCCAUGACCGGCCGCGCAGUGCCGGAGUGGCGGUGGCGGGGGGCUUCGAGCUCGCGCGCCCUGCGGCGGCGAAACGGACACGUUAGCCAAUAAUACGAACAAAGUUCUUUUUAAGCGCUUGCGCUUUUUGCGCACUUGGGCAAGACGCUCCAGGGCGGAGGUGCUCAAGAGAAGUAGGCUCUACCAGAGCAGCCGAUUACGCUGCAGAGUGCUGCUUCCGGUGAAGGCGAGGGCGUGCUGCCGGGAAUGGGUGGCGGGAAGCGUGACAACGGCUCAUGUGAGAGCAAAGUGCUGUUUGUCGGUGCUGCACCGCGGUCUUGUGAGCCAUAUCGCGUGUCGCAUCCGUGUCCAGACCCCCUCCCUCCUCCAUCUUCCCACGUCUGCUGGCACUGCAAGAGCGGGGGGCUCUGCCGCUUCAGCGGAGAGAAAACUGCUCGCGAAGUAGAAGUGCUUCUUGUACGCUCCUUCGGUUCGCGUGUCCAGCUCCUCGAAAGACUCCGAGGGUUGCGAGAGGGGAUGGGCGAGAGGGAGGUGGGGGGCCGAAAUUGUUUCCCUGUCCAUGCCCGACUUCUGUGCUCUCUCACACGUCGUUCCCUCUGCCUGUAUUUGUCUUUUGGCGUUCUGCGCUUCUCCGUUCACCGGCUCUCUACGUCCCCACACACGCGGUCGCUGGAAC
rnacentral:misc_RNA from 1 species